rnacentral:rRNA from 1 species
UACGUAGGGUGCAAGCGUUGUUCGGAAUUACUGGGCGUAAAGGGAGCGUAGGCGGAGUUGUAAGUUAGGAGUUUAAUACAUAGGCUUAACCUGUGGCAUGCUCUUAAGACUGCAAUUCUUGAGUAUGGGAGAGGGUGAUGGAAUUCCAGGUGUAGCGGUGGAAUGCGUAGAUAUCUGGAAGAACACCAGAAGCGAAGGCGGUCGCCUGGCCCAAUACUGACGCUGAGGCUCGAAAGCUAGGGGAG